AGGCAGUUAGUUUAAUAAAAACAUUUGACUUCGGCUCAAAAACUUGCAGUUUAAGUCCGCAACUGCCU
rnacentral:tRNA from 1 species